UACGAAGGGGGCUAGCGUUGCUCGGAAUGACUGGGCGUAAAGGGCGCGUAGGCGGAUGGCACAGUCAGAUGUGAAAUUCCCGGGCUUAACCUGGGGCUGCAUUUGAUACGUGUGAUCUAGAGUGAGGAAGAGGGUCGUGGAAUUCCCAGUGUAGAGGUGAAAUUCGUAGAUAUUGGGAAGAACACCGGUGGCGAAGGCGGCGACCUGGUCCUUGACUGACGCUGAGGCGCGAAAGCGUGGGAGCAAACAGG
rnacentral:rRNA from 1 species